UGACCUCAGAUCAGGCAAGGCUACCCGCUGAAUUUAAGCAUAUUAAUAAGCGGAGGAAAAGAAACUAACAAGGAUUCCCCUAGUAAUGGCGAAUGAAGCGGGAACAGCUCAAAUUUAAAAUCUCCGUUGCUUGCAACGGCGAAUUGUAGUUUCGAGAAGCACUUUCUCGGCGGAUCCGAGGUCGUCCAAGUUGCUUGGAACAGCACGUCGUAGAGGGUGAAAACCCCGUCUGCGGCGACCUCGGCCGUUCACGAUGUGCUUUCGACGAGUCGGGUUGUUUGGGAAUGCAGCCCAAAAUGGGUGGUAAACUCCAUCUAAAGCUAAAUAUUGGCACGAGACCGAUAGCGAACAAGUACCGUGAGGGAAAGAUGAAAAGCACUUUGAAAAGAGAGUUAAAAAGUACGUGAAACCGUUAAAAGGGAAACGAAUGGGGUUAGCAAUGCGUCGUGCGAGAUUCAGCCGGUGGGUGGGCCAGGCGGGCGGUUGGCGGAUCUGAAUGGACCGCUGCCGUUCGGGUUGGUUUCCCGACCGUCGCACUUCUCGCAGGCGCGCGCCAA
rnacentral:ncRNA from 1 species